AACGAACGCUGGCGGCAUGCCUAACACAUGCCAGUCGAACGAGACCUUCGGGUCUAGUGGCGCACGGGUGCGUAACGCGUGGGAACCUGCCCUUAGGUUCGGAAUAACUCCCCGAAAGGGGUGCUAAUACCGGAUAAUGUCUUCGGACCAAAGAUUUAUCGCCUUUGGAUGGGCCCGCGUGGGAUUAGCUAGUUGGUAGGGUAAAAGCCUACCAAGGCGACGAUCCAUAGCUGGUCUGAGAGGAUGAUCAGCCACACUGGGACUGAGACACGGCCCUGACUCCUACGGGAGGCAGCAGUGGGGAAUAUUGGACAAUGGGCGAAAGCCUGAUCCAGCAAUGACGCGUGAGUGAUGAAGGCAUUAGGGUUGUAAAGCUCUUUUAACCGGGAUGAUAAUGACAGUACCGGGAGAAUAAGCUCCGGCUAACUCCGUG
rnacentral:rRNA from 1 species